UUUUCCUUUUUUCUCAUAUUGAAUUACAGGUCUACAUGAAGACAUUGACAUUGAUGCCGACCUUGAUGAUCUCCAUGACGACGACAUGGAUGAUGAUGACGACGAUGAUGAUGAAGAGUUUCAUCACCGUGACGACGAUGAUCUCCCCAAGAAAGAUGAUCCAGGGCGGAAAGUUCGUUUUGCGGACGACGGUGGGGGUGAUGAGAAGAUUCCCCCGGGUAUCACCCCGCUCCAGUACAAGAUGUUGAAGAUGGCCGGUCAGCAGAUUCCAAAGAAGGGAGAGAAGACGA